GAUGAACGCUGGCGGCGUGCCUAAUACAUGCAAGUCGAGCGAACAGAUGAGGAGCUUGCUCCUCUGACGUUAGCGGCGGACGGGUGAGUAACACGUGGAUAACCUACCUAUAAGACUGGGAUAACUUCGGGAAACCGGAGCUAAUACCGGAUAAUAUAUUGAACCGCAUGGUUCAAUAGUGAAAGACGGUUUUGCUGUCACUUAUAGAUGGAUCCGCGCCGCAUUAGCUAGUUGGUAAGGUAACGGCUUACCAAGGCAACGAUGCGUAGCCGACCUGAGAGGGGGAUGGCCCCCACUGGAAAUGGAAACCGGCCCAAACCCCUACGGGAGGCAGCAGUGGGGAACCUUCCGGAAGGGGCGAAAGCCUGACGGGGCAACGCCGGGGGGGGGAUGAAGGGUUUGGAAUCGUAAAACCUUGUUAUUAGGGAAAAAAAAAUGUGUAAGUAACGAUGCACGUCUUGACGGUACCAAAGAAAAAAGCCACGGCUAACUGCGU
rnacentral:rRNA from 1 species